rnacentral:rRNA from 1 species
UACGAGGGGGGCAAGCGUUGUUCGGAAUUAUUGGGCGUAAAGGGCGCGUAGGCGGUUUGGCAAGUUUGGUGUGAAAUCUUCGGGCUCAACUCGAAGUCUGCAUCGAAAACUGCCGGGCUUGAGUAUGGGAGAGGUGAGUGGAAUUUCCGGUGUAGCGGUGAAAUGCGUAGAUAUCGGAAGGAACACCUGUGGCGAAAGCGGCUCACUGGACCAUGACUGACGCUGAGGCGCGAAAGCUAGGGGAGCAAACAGG